CUGCACACUGUCUGUUAAUGACUUGACUCUGCGAUUAGUCAAGUGCAUUAGUGAGAUUAUUGAAGUAUCGGAGUUUCCUUUCCAGUUUCUGCUCUACUGUUUUCAAUGCUUCUGUCACCUUACAAAGAGAAGUACAGUUAACUCGUGGUGCUACAAGCUUCACUGGGCUCCAUUAUUCCUCACUACAAGUCUAUUAAUACAACAGUGAGUUGUGCUAA